GGGUUUGCCGGAUAAGUCCACUGAGAUCAGGCUGCAUGGAUCGGCUGGUCAGGGCUUCUGUGCGUUCCUAGCCCGUGGCGUGCACUUGGAACUUGGAGGGCGACGCCAGUGACUAUGUUUCCAAGGUAACCAACACCCCUCCCCCAACUCUUGCAUACUAAUUUUUGUCGUUAUUUGCAUUCCUGUUUAUAUUCUGACUGAUUAAUAUCAUGAUUUAUGAUAUCCAGUGAUUUAUGCUUACAACCUUCAUAGAAAAUACUCCAUGCAUUGACUGUACAUAAUUUUUGGUGCUUUGCCCUGUAUUUACAAGUCGGUUCAAGGAAUUUGUCCUAAGAUGCUGUUGUAUGUUUUACCCCAAAAUCUCAUCUUGUCUUUUUGCCAACUAAUAACAGAAGUUUUUACUCUCACAAGUAAAGACCACUUCUAAUUAGAAAUACCAUUGUAAGUGUACACUUUGCGUUCAGAAGUGCAAACAAUGUUUAAACAGCUCCCUUACAAACCUGGCAAGCAGUUUUCAGAAUGACGCCUGAGCUGGACCAAGAGAGGGCGCAAUUUUCUAGCAUCGGCAGCUCCUUUGGUUGGAACUGCCACUUGUGUGGCUCACAAACGACUAUGGGAUGCACGCAUUACGGGCACCUCGCUAACAGCAAAAUGAACACUGCCUACUGACGUAGCUAUUUUCCAACCAGUGUGAGGAAGAGCCGCUGCUCGAGGUGGACACUAACAUCCAAGUCGAAAAGAACAAACCGCAUUUGCAGUCAUUUACAUCCUUUGUCUUUCUGUCUGUCGGGGUUUGACGGGAGGCACUGUGGUCCGCCCGAGGACAUGCUGGCUGACUUCAAAAUGGAGGAGAACAUCAUCGUGGGCAAAGUGUGCCUGUACAGAGCAACGAGAGGAAAACGUGGGGGCAGAGAGAUUCUGUGGCCGAGACUUUGAUGCAACUGCUGUGUGUGAGGUACCUGUGGCAAGAUUCUUAAGACGUGUGGGAAUGAUGGUUGUGAGCACAUGACCGGUGGACGGACUAUCAUUCUGGGGCCAACUGGUUGUAUCUUCGCCGCUGGAAUGUCAGGAGGAAUCACCUAUGUUCUUGAUAGGAAACGAGGAGUCAGUCCACCCUUCGACUGGUUACCAACCAAUAGACUUUACUUUCAUCCUGGAACAUCUCCAGAAGUUUGUUGAGCUGAUCUUGUCAGAGGUCGCUGCUAAGAUCCUUGCCAGCUGGGAUGAGGAAGUGUAGUGUUUCAUCAAGAUAUGCCCUUCUCAAAUGAAAGCCAAAACCUUGCCAGGCUGACCAAUGGAGUCGGAUAUAUGAAUGGUCCAACCAAUCAGAAUGAACCUCUGGAAAUCAGCUUGGAGAGACCAACCAAUAAGAAAACAGAACCCAAAGUGAUUGACAAUGAGGAGACCGUAUCCGAUUGGAGCAAGUUCAAAACAAAGGGUUUUGUGAAAUAUAAGAGGAACAGCCAACCUUAUCGGAAAGAGCAAUGCAAACGAAGGACUGGGGUGAAAUCUAUGACCACAAAGCCGUAAAGAAGGAACUACGUACCCAGCAGAAAGAUGUAUGGACUGUGACACCCCCUUCUGUCAAGGUCACACCGGCUGCCCCCGUGGCAAGAUCAUCCCUUCCUGGAAUGACCUCGUCUUCAGAGGUUGAGGCUGGAGGUCACCAACAACUUCCCAGAAUCCAGCGGGAGAUGGCUGCCCUGCUCCCUGUGAGGGAGCUUGUGUCCUGGGCAUCAAUGCACCAGCAGUCACCAUCAAGAACAUCGAGAAUGCCAUCAUCGACCAUGCCUUCAAGCAAGGCUGGAUGGAGCCCCGCCCCCCAACCUUCCGCACCGGUAAAACCUUGGCAAUUGUCAGGAGCGGGCCAUCAGGUCUAGUGGCCGCGGCCCAGCUGAAUAAAGCCGGUCACCAAGUGACAGUGUACGAGAGGAAUAACAGGAUUGGUGGUCUGUUGAUGUACGGGAUACCAACGAUGAAGGUCGGCAAGGCACAUCGAAUUAACGUGAUGGAGAUGAAGGGAUUCAGUUUUUGACCGAUGCCAACGGAGGCGCCACCGUCAGCCCCAAACAGCUCCUGCUAGACCAUGAUGCAUUGCUGCUCUGCCUAGGGUCCACACGCCCCUGAGACUUGCCCAUACCUGAUUGUGACCACGGUCAGUCGGUUGUGGUCCAAGCCAUCAAUGAGGGACAGCAGGUGGCGUGGGAGAUUCACCUAGACCUAAGGGUCACACAUCCUUGGCUGGCCCUGGAGGUGUGGUCUUCACCCCUGGUGUCAAAGUGGACAAGGCCAAGAUGGUGGCCAUCAAGAACCAGCCCAUGGUGGAAUGUGUGGCUUGAAGGGUCAGUGGAGAAUGUAAGGGGGGUGGGGCAAGAGAAAUGAAUAUUCAUGAGAUGAAGUCAUUGUUGCAUGUGAUUGGAUCGAGCCAGGUGUGGACAAUGUCAUUUUAUACAUAACUUUUAUCUUUCCAUUGUAUAGCGCACUCAGGCAGCAGUGCACGAAGGUGAUGGACCAAACUCAACUUGCUAGUUGUGAAUUUUUUCUUUCCUUCUCUGAAAUUAUCUUAGCUGGAGCAGAGACCAAAUUCGCCAUAAGUCCAAUAACGUACAAAAUUUCAUAGUAAUUUUCUGUUGUACGUGACCAAGUCGUGGUGAUAUGUUACCAUAGAAAUGAUUGUGCUGAUUACACAUCGUUGAUGUGGUGCCCGCCUGUGGUGUCAACUGAAAAACCAAUAAGGUCUACAACACGAUGAGUUUGAAUUCCACGGUGAAACCUUAUUUUGCUUUUUAAUGUUUCAGCAUAUUUCUCUGCUUGAAAUAGCUGUCAGCAAAUUGUGUAGUUGACUCUAGUUCAUUUUAAAAGUACAACGUAUUUCUUGUUCUCCAAGUAGUUCAGAUCGAUGAGAGACAGUGAGAUGCAUGAUGGUCUAGAAGGGAUGGGGCGGUGCCUCACUCAGAAAGGGGGGGGGCAGGUAAAAUACAAACAGUCAUUGCCUGAAAGAUUCCAAUGUUCAUGACUAGAUUUGUGAUGACAUGUUGGAGCUAGAUUCAUAUAUGGAGAGAGUAGUGUCAGCUUCAGGUUUUGGAAACAAAAGGGCUGUUCAUUAUGCCUACAGUAGAGCAUGCAGCUACUGUAAACCAGCUGUCUAUGUGCACCUGUGCAUACACCUGCCAGUUUGUGUCCAACCAUGGUGACACUCAUGUCACAACUCCCUCCUCACACAGCUCUGAUUGGAGGUGCCUCUCACCUUUGGUUGGCUGUAGUCAUCAGCUUUUCGUUGUACUUGGGUUCUAUGCUCAAUCAAUGCAAUGCCAAGGUAAAAACUGAAGUGAUUCGUUUUUCAUCUAUAAAUGCCCGUAACUGUGCUGACAGAGAUGAGCAGAAACUAACCAUGAAUAUUAGUCAGUUAUUUUCAGAUUUUGAAAUAUAGAUGUGUCUUCCAAUUAAUCUUUGGGUAAUCUUUUUUCUGCCUGCACUUCCAUGAAAUUUCUUUUACUUCUUUAAUCGCAAUACUUUCAAACAUUUGAAGUACUGUGGCAUUUGUUUUAAUGCUGCUCUUCUGAUUUGAUUUGGACGUGGAUGUGUGUCUGAGUUAUUGUGUUCAGCACAAAUAACUUGGACACUUCAUUGGUGAUGAAAAGGCAGAAGUUUAAGAACAUUUAUGAAACCUUCCUUUAUAAGUAUAUUUAGAAUAUAUAAAUUUCAAUUUAUCAUGUGAUCCUGCUUCCUGUUAAUAACAUUGACUUUUAAAUGAUUUUUCAAGUUCAUUCACACUGGUGUUGUCAAACGUCCAUUUAACAGUAACGUUUGCUUGACUCGUGUGAGAAGUCUUCAAUUCAAAAGGGUAUCAAGACACUGAAGUGAGAAAAUAUACGUAAACGUACAUUAUCUAUCUUUGAUGUUUGGAUCUCAGAAUUUCUCGAUAUGCAUUGUCUUCAGUGUAUGCCUUUUCACAUUACCCUCAAAAGGAAGUCUCACGCUAAUUCGGCGAAACCUUGCAAAAUGGCUCAAAUAGCAUGUUUGAAUUCCUAAUGCGUGUAAUGUGUCAGUACAGUGGUUGAUGGUAUCCGCAUUCUAUAUGUAAAGAUGAAUUGUACGUAAUAUUCUUUACAUGCUACAGUUGUGAAAACUGCUGAUAUUGUCUUUAAUAUGUUUGCCUUGUAACAAUUGUCAGAUAAUUGUACCUGUGUUCAUCACCUCAAAGGGGAUGUCCUGCAGGAACUGAAUACAGGGAAAAUCUUUUCCAAAUGACUUGAAAAAGACAAUACGGUCAUUAGAGUUUAACUUACUGCUUGUUUAAUAUUUCAGUAUGCCUCAUUAAAAAAAUCUGGGCACCUUCAACAUAGACAAUAGUUCCCUGCUGUGUCUAACGUCAUCCUGUGAAACCAAAUACUCCACAUUUUUGGCCUCAUAUUACUCUUGCAGGUGUCAUAAUAAAGUACCAAAAAUGGACCAGUGGUUGUAGCCUGAGACACAAGUCAGAAUGACACAAAGCUGUGACUUGAGAAAUUGGACUGCCUUUUGCUCAAGGAACUUGUAUGUAUAACAAACAAAGCUGUCAGGUGCCCGGUGAAGGGUUCUUUUAUACAUGUGACACCUCUAACGAAAGAUAAUUUUUGGUAUGUAAGAGACCUCCAGAUCUUAAUAUUGAU